CAUUGAAAGUAUGGUUUUUGAAGGUACAAAGGAUUUUAUGACUACGUAAAAUUGAAAGGAGUGGAUGUUGGUCAACCGGUGGGGUUUGAUGUUCUUGUUGAUGGAACAGUUCUGACGGGUGCAUUCUUCUAAUUGACCAAUCUUAGUACAUGAUUACACUAUCUUUGAUACUUUGUCAAAGAUGAUAUAGAACCGUGUCUUUUGUUUUUUAAUAGAAUUGAACCCAAUCAACAAUGUUUUUGCUUUUUAUAAAGGGUCUGGACUAUCGAGCUCUACAGCUUUUGUUGUUCUUCAACAAUUGCUAUUUUGGUUGCUUUUGGUGUGAACUUCCCAAAGUUCUAAUGGAUCUUCACAUGUUCAGCUAACAAAAAUGAUGCCUGAACUUUUAAAGUUCUUAAAAAAAUGGCUCAACUUAAGUGUGAAUGUGAAAGAUAGAUUGGAACACAGUCUGGGGGAAUGGAUCAGGUAAUCUCUGUCGUGGCCAAAGCUGGGUGUGCAGAGCUGAUUGAUUUUAACCCAAUCUGUACAACAGAUGUGCAAUUUUCUGCUGGUGGGACAUUUGUAAUAGCUCAUUCUUUGGCUGAGUCUCAAAAGGCUGUCACUACCGCUACAAACUAUAUUAAAAGGGUUUUUGAAUGCCAUUUGGCAUCAGACAGUGUUUUUCAACUUGAGAUUGUAUAAUUUCAUUUUUAAUACUUAUUUGCAUCCCCUGAGCAUAAAUGGAUUAUUAGAACUAUGGUGGUGCCAUGGAUGGAGGUUGAGGGUGGGAUGUAGGAGAUGUUACUAGGUAGUCUAAGACCACCAAUUGUUUAGGGUCUCAAACAAUCUCUAC